rnacentral:tRNA from 16 species
GCAUCCCUGGUGCAGGGUGUGGGCUUCAACUCAGGCGGGCUCAGGG